UGGGAAUAUUGCACAAUGGGCGCAAGCCUGAUGCAGCCAUGCCGCGUGUAUGAAGAAGGCCUUCGGGUUGUAAAGUACUUCAGCGGGGAGGAAGGGAGUAAAAGUUAAUACCCUUUGCUCAUUGACGUUACCCGCAGAAGAAGCACCGGCUAACUCCGUGCCAGCAGCCGCGGUAAUACGGAGGGGUGCAAGCGUUAAUCGGAAUUACUGGGGCGUAAAGCGCACGCAGGCGGUUUGUUAAGUCAGAUGUGAAAUCCCCGGGGCUCAACCUGGGGAACUGCAUCUGAUACUGGCAAGCUUGAGUCUCGUAGAGGGGGGGUAGAAUUCCAGGUGUAGCGGUGAAAUGCGUAGAGAUCUGGAGGAAUACCGGUGGCGAAGGCGGCCCCCUGGACGAAGACUGACGCUCAGGUGCGAAAGCGUGGGGAGCAAACA
rnacentral:rRNA from 1 species